GACGAACGCUGGCGGCGUGCCUAAUACAUGCAAGUCGAGCGGACUGAAUGGGAGCUUGCUCUUGUUCGGUCAGCGGCGGACGGGUAAGUAACACGUGGGCAACCUGCCCGCAAGACCGGGAUAACUCCGGGAAACCGGAGCUAAUACCGGAUAACACCGAAGACCGCAUGGUCUUUGGUUGAAAGGCGGCGCAAGCUGCCACUUGCGGAUGGGCCCGCGGCGCAUUAGCUAGUUGGUGAGGUAACGGCUCACCAAGGCGACGAUGCGUAGCCGGCCUGAGAGGGUGACCGGCCAAACUGGGACUGAGACACGGCCCAGACUCCUACGGGAGGCAGCAGUAGGGAAUCUUCCGCAAUGGGCGAAAGCCUGACGGAGCGACGCCGCGUGAGCGAAGAAGGCCUUCGGGUCGUAAAGCUCUGUUGUGAGGGACGAAGGAGCGCCGUUUGAAGAAGGCGGCGCGGUGACGGUACCUCACGAGGAAGCCCCGGCUAACUACGUG
rnacentral:rRNA from 1 species